GAAAAUGAAGAACUCAUGUUGUUCAAUGACCAUCCUGUGAUUUUUCCUAGGGUCCAGAUAGAGCAUUGAGAAUCAGCCAGUUAGUUUUACCAGACACGUCUUGCUUAUUUGGCUUUGUGUCAGUGUUCUUGAGUCACCAAAUCUGGUGCCUUACUCAUUUCAGUUUGUCAACUGGGUAAAACAAAACUUACCUCUGUAUAUGGUAUUAAUAAACAAAUGUUGUUGAGCUUCUGUAGAGAGCAGUAGUUGUGGAGUAAAUGUUAUGGCAUAAUUGAAAUUAUGUCUUUUAACUCCCUAAGCAACUGACCUCCCUCCCCACCUGCUUAAAAGUUGGAGUUAUUAUUCACAUCCUGUUUAAAAAUAGCACAAAAUCUGCAGCAGGAUGGGCGUGGAAGUUGUCUGUAGCUUUAAUCACUAAUGACCUCAUCUUCAAAUGGUCAGUGAUAAUAAACAAGAAGGAGGGAUUUCCAAGGGAGCAGAGCAUUAAUAAGCUACUUGUGCAAGAAGCUACAAUGAGAAAAAAAAUAGCAAGAAAUAGACGAGGGAAGGAGGUUCUGUAGAGGGAAAAACAAAGAGAGAAAAGAACAAUGAAUUGUGCUGAGAAAGAGAUGCCUGGAUGAAGAAGCUGGCCCUAGCACCCAUAAAGCUGGAAAGAAAGUGGGGCCUUGGAAACUUCUGGAAGGAUGCGAGGAAAGAAAAAUGCAAGGAAAUGAGAUGGAGAGGAGAAAGAGAAACCAGGAAGCACUUCGGAAGCAUGUAAAUUACAAGGAAAUGAGGAACAGCCUUUAUUGAAACAGUCUGUGAAGUCUGUGCUAGCGCUGAGAGCUUCAUUUUACUGUCCUGGCAAGGAGGUGUGGCCCCUCUCCAGUGCCCAGCACCUCAUCGCUGUGGUAACAGAAGACACGCUUAUCUUCCGGAUUUUGCCUCAGAGACUUGGGCUGUACAAGCUGCUUUCCUGGGGUAGCUUGUCCUUUUGCAGUUAACCGAGAUGCCUGGGGAGAAGAGCUUCCCCCAACAGGAUGGCAGGCGAUGCUUCCAGAUGCGGUCACUUGGCACGUCUGAGCCGAAUGUCUCCAUAAAAAUAUGAUGUAAUUAACAGAGCCGCAGCAGCUGGAACAAUUCAGCACCUCACAUUGAUUUUCCAUGUCUCCUAUUUACUUUCAGUUUUUAAACUGUCUGCAGUGACAGGAAAUCAAAGAAUUAUAAUGGUGUGUGUGAGGGCCCAAUGCUGGGUCGGCAUUUCCUUGUGAAAUCCUGAGAUUAAUCAGUUUCCUAUCACUCAAUCAUCCCUUUUCACUUCUAAAGGAAAACGGUCCUCCCAAAUGCUACGAAACAGCAGUCUAUUUUUGGAUAUUAAAAAAAUCAAUUGUAUUAUUUUAAAAUUUGAGAGGAGUGUUUUUAAAAAAAGUCAGCCCGAAGCAAUAUUCACUUGUCUGUUUUCCCCUUCAAGUUUAAUAGGAGUUGGCAAAGGCAUUUGGGUGCAGUGAGACACAAGUACUAUAUUCACCCUUCCCAAGUUUUGAGAGCUUGGAAAAGUUACUUGGUGGAACCAAAGAGAGGAACUGCAUUCCAAGUUUUUUUGAUCACUGAAAUGAAGGAAAAUAAGUUUCCCAUAUGUGGUUAUUCAUGAGCCUUCAUCUGAAGCUGGUGGUUUUCUCAUAGUUGGUCACUGUAUUUCCAGCUCUGUCAGGUGAAAGUCAGAAUCUUGGGUUAAUUUCACUUUGGGUUCCUUAAAAUGCUGGAGAAAAUAGGCAGCUGCGGUUGUAGUGGGGAAACAGGCCUCUGUCUGAAGUCAGCUUGCUCUAGAUUGUGUUUGAAAACAUGCCUCAGAUUUAAGUGGUCUUGCUUUUUUUCCAGACUCCCUUGCCUUGGCAGAUUCUGUGUCUUGGCCAUACUGUAAGAACUCACUUUUCUUUGUCUUUUUAUUGAUUCAAGCAAUAUAACCAUUUCAUAAAUAAUUAGGAAAAUAAAGAAGAAAAUUUCUCAUAAUUCUACUGCUCAAACGCAAUAGCUAUGAUUGCUUUGGAGCAAUUACUUUGGGUCAUUUUCAAAUGCUGAGUUUUGGUAUGAUUCUAAGCAUAAUGUACAAACAACUUUACAUGUUGCUUUUUCACUUAAUCUAUGUCAGAAGCAUCUCCCCAUGUUAUGAUUAGCUUCAGUAAAUAUCUUUUUAAUUGCUGCCCAAACAGCUGGAACAAUUCAGUCCCUCUUAUUGACUUUCCAUGUGUCCUAUGGAAGUAGAGACACUCUAUUAACUAUUUCUGUAUUUUGGGACAAUAGAUCAAAUUGAUUUUUCACUGUAAUUAAUCCCAUGAUAAGUAUCUUUAUAAAUAAGCCUUUUCUAUAUAUAAGAUAAUUUCUUUAGGAUAAAUUCCUAGAAAUUACAGGGUCAAAGUGGAUACAUAUUUUAUGACUCUUGAUAUUUCUUAUUGAUCUUUAAAGCUAUUAUGUGACUUUAUAUUAUCACCUAAAAUGUUUGAGGAAUUCAUGCUUUACGAGCGUAUUUUAUUGACUAAAUAUGCAGUACUGAGAGAGCUUUAUGUGUGCAGUUUGAUGAUGCUGACAGAUAUCCCGGAGAUAAACAUUUUUUAAUUUAAAGAUGUUCUGUUUAUGUUUAACAUACAGAAGUUAAUGUUAAACAUGAUGCCUAUUUUGUUUAACAUACAGAAGUGACUUUAUUAAAGCCAUUUCUUCUAAAUGUGCAAUAAACUAUGAAUUCUUUGCCUGGUUCUAAUGUUCUAUCUCAUCAAACCUCAUAAAACUAAUUAGCAUCAUACCCCCUCAGUUUGCCUGUGAAUUUUGAAGAUGAUAUGAAUUUCUCUUCCAUGUGAAAUAGAAUUUGGUGGGUAUCCCUUUGCUGGGAAUAACUCCUUUGAAAAAUAGAAAAAAUACUGAGCAGAAAGAAAGUACAUUUUCUGGGAAAAGAAUAAGAACCCAGAGAGAUGGAGUGAGAAUUGUACCACAGAGUCCCAGCAGCAGAUGUUUUGGGUGUUGAAACUCCCACCAGAACAGCUGCAGAAAUGUAGAAUCACAUCUGGGUGUGUGACGCGGCUGCAUCAUUACCUACAGACAGCAAAACAGCCAGAUGCUUCCAAUUCAUUUUAAGGACCAGGCUUCAGGUCUGAACCUGUGAAUGUCUCCACUUCCCGACCAACAACUUAUCAAUUGCCGAGACAGCUCAUGAAAACUUCGCCUCGCGGGCACUUUAAGGACAAAUCUCGGUUGCAGCAGGUAGAGGCAGAGUGCAGCUGCUGCACACCCGGCCCUGCAGCUCUAGCUCUGCUCUCGGGCUGGAGGAUAAAGCCAUCAAAGCCCUUCCACACGACGGUUCCUGCAUGGCUUGUCACCGGUGCAUGAGGCUUCUGAGGGCGAAUUCUGUUUAAUCUCCACUCUAGUUCUUCAAAUUCUCAUCUCUCUCUCCCUUUUUUUCUCUUUCCUCUUUCACUGUCUCCUCUCUCACUCUGCGCGUGUGUGUGAGAGAGUAUCUCUCCCUCUCU